rnacentral:rRNA from 1 species
UACGGAGGGUGCAAGCGUUAUCCGGAUUUACUGGGUUUAAAGGGUGUGUAGGCGGGCUUUUAAGUCAGUGGUGAAAUCUCCGGGCUCAACCUGGAAACUGCCAUUGAUACUAUUAGUCUUGAAUAUUGUUGAGGUAGGCGGAAUAAGUCAUGUAGCGGUGAAAUGCAUAGAUAUGACUUAGAACACCAAUUGCGAAGGCAGCUUGCUAAACAAUGAUUGACGCUGAGGCACGAAAGCGUGGGAUCAAACAGGAGUUAGAACCCUAUAG